GACGAACGCUGGCGGCGUGCUUAACACAUGCAAGUCGAACGGAAAGGCCCUGCUUGCAGGGUGCUCGAGUGGCGAACGGGUGAGUAACACGUGGGUGAUCUGCCCCUUACUUUGGGAUAAGCCUGGGAAACUGGGUCUAAUACUGGAUAGGACCAUGCUGUAGGUGGUGUGGUGGAAAGAUUAGUUUCGGUAAGGGAUGAGCUCGCGGCCUAUCAGCUUGUUGGUGGGGUAAUGGCCUACCAAGGCGUCGACGGGUAGCCGGCCUGAGAGGGUGGACGGCUGCUUUGGGACUGUGAUACGGCCCAGACUCCUACGGGAGGCAGCAGUGGGGCAUAUUGCACAAUGGGCGCAAGCCUGAUGCAGCGACGCCGCGUGGGGGAUGACGGCCUUCGGGUUGUAAACUCCUUUCAGCCAUGACGAAGCCCUUGUGGUGACGGUAGUGGUAGAAGAAGCACCGGCUAACUACGUG
rnacentral:rRNA from 1 species